rnacentral:lncRNA from 1 species
UCCAUGUUUGUUUUAGGAGAUUGGUGUAAAUCCAUUGAUUGGUAUCCGGCAUCCACCUUUGUUUGUGAGAUUGGAAUAAGUCCAUUGAUUGGCCUCCGGUAUCCAUUUGCUUUGUUUAUUUGAUAUUGCUCAUUGUCUAUUCCAAAGGAAUCACUUGAAUCAUUUACAUAUGAUUUCAAGAGGUGAAUAUCUAAGAAGUUU